UUAUACUUGCGUUUUCUGUCUCUGUUGCCAGACGUAUUCCUUAACGCUCGAUAACGUUAUAGAAAAAGGAUUUCAUGGAUAAAUGUGGCAACUCCUCUCUUGCUGCGAAAACAUAUUUUUGGCUAGUUUUCAGGCCUUGUGUGCGAGUUUUCAGGGGUCAUAGGGCUAGAAAUUUGAGGUGGCCCUGGCAACACUGAGCAUGACAGUUAAACCCAGGGAGUUCUUUCAGAAAAUGGCAGAAUGCUUCAGCAAACAGUGCUUUGACAGUGGAAAGAAAUAGUGGAGGAUACUGCUGAUGAUGCUGGCGAAGGUCCAGACUCCGAUGCUGAGUCGGACCCAGAAGAUGCUCUUCCCGUGGACGUGAGGCUGCAUGCACAGAGACACCAAGGUCUGCACCAGGAUGUACAGUGCCCCCACGCCAAACGUCAAUAUUGCCCCCACGAGGUGCAUGGAGAACAGAGUCGUUUUCUGGUUGUUGUUGAGAGAGAGAAUGAUUUUGUAGUACCACAUUUACAUACACUGUCAUCAAAAUAAACAGGAACAAGACUCUCUCACA